AAUAGAUACCCCGGUAGUCCACGCCGUAAACGAUGAGUGCUAGGUGUUGGGGGGGAUCGCCCCCUCGGUGCCGAAGUUAACACAUUAAGCACUCCGCCUGGGGAGUACGGUCGCAAGACUGAAACUCAAAGGAAUUGACGGGGGACCCGCACAAGCAGUGGAGUAUGUGGUUUAAUUCGAAGCAACGCGAAGAACCUUACCAGGUCUUGACAUCCCUCUGACCGGUCUAGAGAUAGGCCUUCCCUUCGGGGCAGAGGAGACAGGUGGUGCAUGGUUGUCGUCAGCUCGUGUCGUGAGAUGUUGGGUUAAGUCCCGCAACGAGCGCAACCCUUGAACUUAGUUGCCAGCACCUCGGGUGGGCACUCUAGGUUGACUGCCGGUGACAAACCGGAGGAAGGCGGGGAUGACGUCAAAUCAUCAUGCCCCUUAUGACCUGGGCUACACACGUACUACAAUGGCCGGUACAACGGGUCGCGAAGCCGCGAGGCGGAGCUAAUCCUACCAAAGCCGGUCUCAGUUCGGAUUGCAGGCUGCAACUCGCCUGC
rnacentral:rRNA from 1 species